UUAACUAUUAUAUAGUACUCAGACAUCACUAAAAUUCAGAGUUUGGUUCUCUGGCAGGCACAUACAGGCAGAGCCCACAGUGGAGACCACGGCCUGCCAAAGCAACAAGAGUAUAUAAACACGGGUUGGGGCUUGGGUAUCCCGAACUCGGCUGUACGCCCACGAAGGAGCGCAUAGUUACAGAACGGACCGUCUACCUCUUUAAUGAUCCUUCCGCAGGUUCACCUACGGAAA
rnacentral:misc_RNA from 1 species